rnacentral:snoRNA from 1 species
AUUCUUUUGUAGUUCAUAAGUGUGAUGACUGGGUGUUCAUGCACACAUGUGAAAUGUGUCUCCCUCAAACCUUGUUACGACAUUGGCACAUUACUUGUCUGAUG